AUUUAUUUUACCGACGUUUGGUAUAAAAAUUCCUUAGAAGCUAGAAUAUUGGUUAAACAGACACAAACGAGUUGACCGAGUUCCUUAAUGGACAAAAAGUCUUUUUUUUUAAAUGAAGUUAAAAGAAAAUUCAGCAUAAUACGUUCUUCCAUGAAUAAAUGAAAGGCUACAAAACCACCUCAAUAAAGUAAAGAUAUUUGUUGCAAAGUAUUUCUUACAUUGCAAAAUAAAUGCAGAUUUUGUAAAAUGGAGCGGGGGGGAUUUGCAAAGGGUCUUUACUGAGAUUUUCAGGCCUCCAGUAUUAGUGGAAUUAAGGUUGGGGUCACUGGACUGGUCACUGGUGUCAGAUGUUAUCGACUCAUUCAUUUCCUGCAAGGGACAUCAGCCUUUCAAGUUUUGUGGAAGGUAGAGAGCUGCUGCCAGCUGGGAACUCUCCGGGAAAAAAAAAAAAAAAAAAGAAAAAAAAAAAAGAAAGAAAAAAAAAAGAACCCAACCCACUAAUACCCUUCCAAAAUUCAUUCGCAAAGAAUCGGGGGGAGGGGAAAAGCCAAGAGGAUAAAGGGGGAAAAAGCCCUACAGAACAAGCCAGUUUUGUGGAAAAAUUAGUUUUAUGGUAAUACAGUUCUCAUAUUAAAAAGUGUAUUUCUAGCCUUACAUUUCGCUAGAUUGAUGCUAAUUUUGGUAAAGCCAUUAGGAAGACGAUGCUGCGGCUUCCUAAUGCACAGCAAGAGCUCACUUGAAACUGUAACCAAAACCAGUGGUGUUGGAUUUCCAAUUUGUCAACUUCCUAAAACUUUUACAGUCCUAACUCUAGUUUCUUCUAUGCCCCAAAACAAAGAAGGACCCCACCUCCAAAAAACAAAACAAAGAAAAAAAAAAACCCAAAACCCCGACCAACCACCAAACAAACGCCCGACCCGCGUGCAUUUGAAACAAAACGCGUUUUACACUUGAAAGCAGAGCUCGGGGUGCUGCCGCGACUUCCCAUUUCAAAGCACAGCCAACAUUUCUCGCCGACGGGCAGGCAGGAAAAGCAGGAAAGGCGCCGGCGAGCCCCUGCCCCCUCUUCUUCACUUGCCGGGGCCGCUCGCUCUGCGCCGCGGCCGCCGCCCCACGCACGACAGCGCCAGCCCACGCGCGCCGCUCCCGCCGCCGUGCCCGGGAAUUAAGUUCAUCCGAGUCAGUGGGACACAAGUGCUGCAGUACCUCAGUUUUAGAGAUACAAAGUCAGCCAUGUAAGACGCUAUUAGAGAAGACUGACCUGAGCCUGAGGAGACCUUCUUGAAUGACCUCAUCGUCUUCUGAGGAACCUAAAAUCAGAGAGCUGGAGUCAGUACUGUGUACACUGUACCUGAGUACCAUAUUUAAUUACCUCUUCUCCAGUUUAAUGGCUCAUUAGAAGGCCAUAAAAUGCCAGGGCAUUGACUCUGUGAAGUGACCUGUAAACUUAUUAACUGUUUGAGACUUACCUAGCUCAUCAGAACCGCAAUGAGAUAAACAAGGCACAAGAUAAAAUCAGCUGCUGUUUAAUUUUUUUCUUUCCCAAGCCUCCAUAAAGGAGCUACACAGGUGAUGACAACAGAGGGAAAAGACACAGAUUUGCAGGAUAUUGGAAGGUGUUUGUUUCCUUUAUCAAUAUUUAAUUGCAAUAGGUAACCUAAGAACUAGUCAGUUGUCUUUACUACGCUUAAAUUGUACAAUUUAAACAGUCAGUCAUACUUUGUAUAUGCUUUAAGAAAACAAUAAUUCUUUGGGACUCUUUCAUCGUCAAAAUUGUAACUCGAUGCCAAUUUAUGAUCAUCAAUAGAAAAAUGCUUCCAAUUAUGCCAGUUACAUAACCACAGAGCAUAAUAUGUAAUAGUAUUAAAAUCUAGGUCUCUAUCUGAAUAAAAUCAGUCAUAAAAAUA